GCGACAGAGAAGGAGCUUGCUCCUUUGACGUUAGCGGCGGACGGGUGAGUAACACGUGGGCAACCUACCUUAUAGUUUGGGAUAACUCCGGGAAACCGGGGCUAAUACCGAAUAAUCUGUUUCACCUCAUGGUGAAAUAUUGAAAGACGGUUUCGGCUGUCGCUAUAGGAUGGGCCCGCGGCGCAUUAGCUAGUUGGUGAGGUAACGGCUCACCAAGGCGACGAUGCGUAGCCGACCUGAGAGGGUGAUCGGCCACACUGGGACUGAGACACGGCCCAGACUCCUACGGGAGGCAGCAGUAGGGAAUCUUCCACAAUGGGCGAAAGCCUGAUGGAGCAACGCCGCGUGAGUGAAGAAGGAUUUCGGUUCGUAAAACUCUGUUGUAAGGGAAGAACAAGUACAGUAGUAACUGGCUGUACCUUGACGGUACCUUAUUAGAAAGCCACGGCUAACUACGUGCCAGCAGCCGCGGUAAUACGUAGGUGGCAAGCGUUGUCCGGAAUUAUUGGGCGUAAAGCGCGCGCAGGUGGUUUCUUAAGUCUGAUGUGAAAGCCCACGGCUCAACCGUGGAGGGUCAUUGGAAACUGGGAGACUUGAGUGCAGAAGAGGAUAGUGGAAUUCCAAGUGUAGCGGUGAAAUGCGUAGAGAUUUGGAGGAACACCAGUGGCGAAGGCGACUAUCUGGUCUGUAACUGACACUGAGGCGCGAAAGCGUGG
rnacentral:rRNA from 1 species